ACGAACGCUGGCGGCGUGCUUAACCCAUGCAAGUCGAACGAUGAUGCCAGCUUGCUGGUGGAUUAGUGGCGAACGGGUGAGUAACACGUGAGCAACCUGCCCCUGACUUCGGGAUAACCGCGGGAAACCGUGGCUAAUACCGGAUAUGACGCGCUAUCGCAUGGUGGUGUGUGGAAAGAUUUAUCGGUUGGGGAUGGGCUCGCGGCCUAUCAGCUUGUUGGUGGGGUGAUGGCCUACCAAGGCGACGACGGGUAGCCGGCCUGAGAGGGUGACCGGCCACACUGGGACUGAGACACGGCCCAGACUCCUACGGGAGGCAGCAGUGGGGAAUAUUGCACAAUGGGCGCAAGCCUGAUGCAGCGACGCCGCGUGAGGGAUGACGGCCUUCGGGUUGUAAACCUCUUUCAGUAGGGAAGAAGGCCUUCGGGUUGACGGUACCUGCAGAAGAAGCGCCGGCUAACUACGUG
rnacentral:rRNA from 1 species